rnacentral:lncRNA from 1 species
UUUUUUGUUGAUUGAAAAUGAAGCAGACAACCAUGACAUGACCAUGUGUGGUGGUGGGGGUUGUGUAUACGGAGGCACACGUGGGCUUUGGCUUUCAUCUUACCCUUUUCUUUUUGAUAGUCUAUUUCCUCAUCUUGCUGGACGGAGUGUUCAGAUUCAAGUUUUGUGAAAGAAAGAAAAAAAGUUGAUAGAACAUCUAACCCGACUAGACUUGGUGUUUAGUUGGAAUUCAAUAUGACUAAUUGAUAUGGGAAGGUUUCAUACCGGAAGAAGAAAACUAAACUUUGAGCAAUUCAUGAAAAAGGCAAAGCCCGAAAUUCGUCUUCUAUUUCACUAUCUGAAAGCAAAUGAUAGAAGCUAAAGAGCAGUUGCAUUGAUCCUUCUGACCUCCAAUCCCAUGAUGGAUCAAUCUUCAUGUCACAAAAACAGAAGCAGAUUUAAAAGAAUAAAGGAGCAUAUGCUUUGUUAACUAAUAAUAUCAAAGAUUUUAAUUCAAGCUAUCUAAUUUACAUCCAGGCCAUAAGGCCAUGGCAUACAAAAACUGUUUUUUCAACUUUCCGAUAAUGAUAUCCGCCGCUGGAAAGCAUUUACACUCCACCAUGAAAAGAAGAAAUAAAAAGAAAAAAAAGGAGUUUCAAUCAUGCCAGCAAAGGAGCAUAACAACACAUCUACGGAUUAUAUAAAGCUUAGCCCUUUGCUCUCGGAGGACCCCUCCAAAUCCUCUGCUUGAUAACCUUCUCUUUGAGGCUCCCAUGCUGCCACUGCUCAUCUUCAUCUCUACCUUGUGCUGCUGCGGAACUGAAAGAGGGGUUCUUAUAGGGAGGAAAGUGUGGUCCUGCCUUACAUUCAUUGGUCUAGUAAAGAGCCAUGGAUGGGGCAUGAAAGGGCGUGCAGUGCCCCCUAAGUCACCAGACAACACCAAUUGGACCCCACCCCCCACCCCUCUCUAUCUCCCCCAUUUUCAUUGCCAUGUCAUACUCUAUAUCUUAGCUUUUUUUGUAGACAUCAACCUCCAGCACAACGGGUCGGCCAUGAUUUUCAAUUAGCUAAGCAAAUUU